GGAUAUGAAGGCUGUCUGACUGUAAUGUCUGUCACCUCAUCAAUCACAAGCAUUAAUUUACCUGAUCUGGCUGGCAAGGCAGGUGCCCUUGUCUUCGCGUCCCACUGCAUGUCUGUCCCUCCUACUGCCUUGAGCUUCAAUCAUUCCCAAGGAGAGAUGACGAGAGGUCUACUGGCCUUCACUUGACUAGACAAGUAUUUCUUCUCCACUGCUAUGACUUCCAGGCAGCACUCAAGGUCAGAUAAGUUGGCAGCAAAUUGAAAAAAAAUAUUUUCAACUCAGAUAAAUUACAUAAAACAUAUGGAAAU
ensembl:misc_RNA 7SK 7SK RNA